rnacentral:rRNA from 1 species
CCCGCUCAGAAACUCAAGGAAUUGACGGGGCCCGCACAAGCGGAGGAGCAUGUGGUUUAAUUCGAUGAUACGCGAGGAACCUUACCUGGGCUCGAACGUAAGAUGACUGUAGGUGAAAGCUUACAUCUCUUCGGAGCAUUUUACGAGGUGCUGCAUGGUUGUCGUCAGCUCGUGCCGUGAGGUGUCGGGUUAAGUCCCAUAACGAGCGCAACCCCUACCUUUAGUUGCCAUCAGGUAAUGCUGGGGACUCUAAAGGAACUGCCUACGCAAGUAGUGAGGAAGGCGGGGAUGACGUCAAAUCAGCACGGCCCUUACGUCCAGGGCUACACACGUGCUACAAUGGCCGAUACAGAGGGCAGCUACCUGGUGACAGGAUGCAAAUCUCCAAAGUCGGUCUCAGUUCGGAUCGGAGUCUGCAACCCGACUCCGUGAAGUUGGAUUCGCUAGUAAUCGCGCAUCAGCCAUGGCGCGGUGAAUACGUUCCCGGGCCUU